CAUGCAAGUCGAGCGGAGAUUCUUCGGAAUCUUAGUGGCGAACGGGUGAGUAACACGUGGGCAACCUGCCCUUGAGACGGGGAUAACUCCGGGAAACCGGAGCUAAUACCGGAUAACACAUAUCUUCGCAUGAGGAUAUGUUAGAAGGUGGCUUUUAGCUACCACUCAAGGAUGGGCCCGCGGCGCAUUAGCUAGUUGGUGAGGUAACGGCUCACCAAGGCGACGAUGCGUAGCCGACCUGAGAGGGUGAUCGGCCACACUGGGACUGAGACACGGCCCAGACUCCUACGGGAGGCAGCAGUAGGGAAUCUUCCGCAAUGGACGAAAGUCUGACGGAGCAACGCCGCGUGAGUGAUGAAGGUUUUCGGAUCGUAAAGCUCUGUUGUUAGGGAAGAACAAGUACCUGUUAAAUAAGCAGGUACCUUGACGGUACCUAACCAGAAAGCCACGGCUAACUACGUGCCAGCAGCCGCGGUAAUACGUAGGUGGCAAGCGUUGUCCGGAAUUAUUGGGCGCAAAGCGCGCGCAGGCGGUUCCUUAAGUCUGAUGUGAAAGCCCACGGCUCAACCGUGGAGGGUCAUUGGAAACUGGGGAACUUGAGUGCAGAAGAGGAGAGCGGAAUUCCACGUGUAGCGGUGAAAUGCGUAGAGAUGUGGAGGAACACCAGUGGCGANGCGGCUCUCUGGUCUGUAACUGACGCUGA
rnacentral:rRNA from 1 species